AAAAAAAAAAACACCAAAAACACUGAUACAGAGUGACAUUCCAGCAGUUUAUUUUACUUGAUCACCUUUCCUCUCAAAGCAUAACUUAAGCUGGGCCAACUACUUUUUGCAGUUAGUGAUGAACUACUGAAGUUCUGACCCUGUUACUGAAGCUGCUGCCCAAAGGCCUUCCCCCAUCAAUCCGAAUCUGCAGCACCUGAGCUCUACUUGCUGCACUGAUACCACCUGGGUGUUGUGUUGCUAACCAUAGGGGACAGGAGGCUGGCUGUUCUGCAUCUUUUUGUUGAAGCUGGCAGAGCUAAUUUCCACUAAGUAAAGAGCAGGCAAGCAGGACACUGGGGUGACUGCUGUGACAAAUGAUGUUAACAACGAACGAUGCCAACGGGAACAUUCUGAAUGAGUGAAACAUUUAAAUCCGUGAGGAAACGGCGUGGCUGGAAGGAACAAACUGUAUUCAGUUAAAAUGACCCCAUCGAUCCCCUUCUGCUGUACUUCUCAAAGGCACAUGGCAACCUAUUCUUUUUUCAGACAUAUCUUAUUACAACCAGAGCUGCCAGCUCCAUCAGGAUUAGUCCUGCUUUGUAAGAACCCCGCUACCACUAGCAGCACCAAGAGGGCUCAUUCAUCUGCAAUAAGGGCUCUGUUCAGCUGUGUUUUCCCAGGAAAAUUGCCUACUACCCACUUCAAAGGGCACUAACACAAGCAAGGAGUGCUUGUUCUCUUGGAAUCAGAGCUCACAUCCAGUACUGUUACUUUACCAGGGUUGAUAACAAAAUAUCAGAUGGAUUAAGUACUUCUGGACGCUGUCCCACCAAAAAAAUAAAUGGCCACUGUUGAAGGCAGGCUGAUGUCCCCAAAGGAAAGAAAAAUCAAUCUGCUGAACCUCCAAUCAUUAACAGCAGCCUCCAUCCUCGUUUAUCUCGCCAAACGAAGAGCACAGCUUCCUAAGUGGUCUCCUGGCAGGGCUUCUGUAGCACAUUCAAUACAUCUUCAAGGUGCUGCCACCAUCUCAGAAGGCAGAUGGUGACCGGGUCACCUUUAUCUCCAUGGGGCCAAGCAAGCUGAAUCUCUGCACCUUCAUGAGAUACAUCUUGCUCCUCACCCAGCGCUGGAGUGGUGCGAGCCAGGCCCCAUUUGGGUACAGGAGGGGGCCUUUGCCAUGCAGGAGGGACUUGCCAGCUGUCCUCCAUUGCCCAGUCGCUCGGGGUAAGCACCAUCAAGGCACUGCGAGCAUCUCCAGUGGGGCUGACACAGCACUAAAGGAACAGCCUGGGCUGGGACCCUGCACACUACUGAUGAUACUCAUGCCUUGCCCUGGGCAGCUAGCAGGUCCUGGUUACAGGUGUAACGGUAUUGGAAUUUCAUCUUGCUGAAUUCUGAAAAGACAAGUUUUCUUUGGGAGCAGAUGGCAGGCACAGCUCUACAAGCAAUCCUGUAGAAUUAAAUUAAAACUUGUACAUGAUAAAACAAACCAGCUAUUAAAAGCACAGUCCAUGGAAGCUCUGAAGACACAUAACCCCCCUGCAUCAUUAUUUCAGGCACUUCCUUUAAUAAUCAUGGAGUGUUUGGGUUGGAAAGGAACUUGCAGCCCAUUCAGCUCCAACCCCCUGCCAUGGGCAGGGACAUUUCGCAGCAGAUCAGGCUGCCCAGGGCACCAUCCCAUGAGGUUCACAUGAGCCCUGCUCUAAAGCCUGUCCAUGCCCCUCCAAAUGGCAUCCCUUCCUUAAUAAAUAAGUCAGGAAUGAUUUAUAAAAGAUACACGCGGUUCUAUUUCACCCACACUCACAACUAUUGACAUGCUUGAGCAAACUGCUUGGUCACAGAGGCCAGAAACCCUUGAAGGAAAAAGUAGAGCAACCCCAAUGCCCCUGCCCAUCAAUCCGCCCUGGAAGCCACGGUCUGGUUUCGCCCUGCAGGCAGUGCUUACUGGAGGGGUGGAGGUAGACGAUGUCCUUCACGGUGAAGUCGCGGGGCUGUGCAGCCCUCAGCCAGCCUGCCACGAGGCCCAGCAGCAGGACGUGGGCCAGCCUGGGCUGCGAGGCCAUCACCCACCACGGCCGUGCUCAUGCGGUGGCCCUGGGAGCGCAGCAGCGGAUGGAAAGCUCACCUGAGGGUGGCAAAAACAAAGAAGUGAGCAGCGUGCACGCUGUGGAUGGAGCCCACCUCACCAAACCCCCUGGUCCCAACUGGGCAGCGGUGAUUUCUUCCUCAGAGACACUCGGGAGCCUUCCAGACAUGGGCAACCUGCAGCAGGUGGCCCUGCUUGAGCAGGGCUUGGACCAGAUGGACCCCGAGGUGCCUCCAACUCCAGCCAUCCUAGGGUCACUUUAGCUCUGCUUCCCAGUCUGGAUAAAAGGAGCUGCCCAAACACCCCAGCCUGUAAAUAGCAAGGUCUGGGGAGAGCCCAAGGGAUGUCUUUUGUUCUAUGAUGAUGUAAUGUUAUUUAAUAAAUCAAACAAUUAUUCUGGAGAGGUUGUU